GGAACGCCAGAAGGAUCGAGAGAGAUAGAGAGAGCGAGAGCUGGGAGCUCUGACCCGAGACGCAGCGCGACCCGACGAAGCGACCCGGCCGGAACUUCCACGUCCGGCCACCCCACGACGGCGCGCGGGUACCCACGUCUUCGUCUCGCUGUCGCCUAACUCCCUGUAGCCUUUGAUCGUCCAUGCACUGAACGGAGAAGGGGACUCGACGACUGGAAGCUCCGGGACCUCUCCGGCGAGCUCUCAAUUCCCGGCGAUUCCGACCACCAUUUUGGCUACUUGUGCCGUGUUCUUGGACACCGGCGACUUCUCCGACGCGUCUGGGUGUCCUCAACUCGUUCUCUGACUGUCAUCAUCGUUCUGGAACCCGAAACGUGGAAGGUUGAGCUGAAAUAGGUGGUCGGGCUACGUUGACAGUGUUGGAGUUCGUCAAAUUCGAAAAAUGACGAGAAAGAAGGAUCAGCUCAUCGUUGAGUUUCAAUCAGGAAGCCGCUGCGAGGAAGUUUGAAUUCCAGUGGGUAAACUAGAUAGGACGAAGGUAAAUUCAAUGGUUCUAUCAAAUUUGUUAAUCCCUGAAAGUUGAGAACUUGUGGUGGCUAUGCGACGUUGUUUGCAUGUGCAGAGUGGGUUGGUUGUCACUUGAUUUGAAUUGAUGAGGUUGUGUAGUUUGGUGCUUUAAGUUUGUUCUGGUUUUGCAAGUUAUUGCCUUGUUGGUGUUGCUAAGGCAGGUUAUUUGAAAUGGUAGUGGAAUAAUUGAAAAAUGGUCAAGCUUGGGUGUCCUUAGUAGUUUUGGACCACCUUGUGUAGAAAUUGGAAAGUAUGGGUGUCCAUAGUAAUUCUAUUGGAAUUGCUAUACAACGAAACUUGAAAUAGAAGUAAAGUUGAGUGUUGAACGAAUUGAGAUCGUUUGUUAACGAAAUUGAGAUAAUUUUCUCCAUCGCUUGUGUAUAGGUUGAAAGUGAUGAUAAGUAGAGAGAAAAUAAUUAAUAUAUAUUGGGUGGCCUUAAUAAAUCUGGUGCACUCAAUAUAUGUUUUGUCGAUAUCGUAAUUUCAAGUGAAUGUUUAAUGAUUUAAGUUGAUUGUCGAACCUGUCUCGAUUGGUCAAACGUGGUCAAAUGGGUCAAACUAAGAAAUGUCGGUCAAACAAUGGUCAAAUUGGUCAACUCCUAGUCAAACCAGGAACACUUGAUUGUACGAUUUGUAAUCGUUGAGAUUUCAAUAAUUAG